ACCAAAGCCCAUCACAUGUUGGUGAUGACAGUAAUGGAGAAGCAUCUAUGGGUGGAAGGGCUGCCUUAGAUGUGGCAGCAGUGCGGCUUGUUGACAUUACUGAGAAGGCCCGGAAGCUCUUUAACCUUUUAAGUCAGUCUAAAGAUCCCAGGUUUCAUGCACUUCCUUUGGCAUCUCAAAGAGUCACAGCAUUUGCUGACACAGUAAAUUAACUUGUAUAUCUGAAUUAUUCAUUAGUAUGGAAAUUUUCGAAUCCGAAUUAUUCAUUAGUAUUUUUAUUGUUUUCUGUUCUGUAUAUCUGAUCUAUUUAGUCUCUAUUGAUCUUGCUCCUCUUAGUAUAGUAUAUUUAUUUAUAUGAUAGAUGUUUUUUAUCUGAAUGUCUUAUACUCUCAUGUUACUCGACGUUAUGGUGAAUAUCUGGCCAUUUAACUUGCAAGACUGAAGAUUUUUUAGUUGUUGUGUUAUGAGCUUAGACCUCCCACCAAGCAAUUUAGUGCAGUUUUUGAUCCCUUGAAUCACACCACAACACCCUCCCUUUUUCUUUCUCUCUGCCUCAACCCUCAGGCGACAAGCAAGAACAAGGGCCCAGAUGUGGUUCUCUUUUUUUCUCUAUCUUCCUCUCCAUGCGUGUCUCAUUCUCAGGUCUACCAAUUGAAUGAUGAUGGAAAAUGGGAUGAUCAAGGUUGGGCAUGUCACUCUUGACAAUUUGGAGCAUUGACUGCAACUCCUCCAGCUAGAACAACCUCCUCAAGUUCUUGAAUGGUUUGGCUAAGCUUUUCCACCUCCUGAACCUUUUGGCAGUUUGUUUUCUCAAGGAUUCUAUUUUCUUCCUGCACAU